UGCGUAGGGUGCGAGCGUUAAUCGGAAUUACUGGGCGUAAAGCGUGCGCAGGCGGUUUUGUAAGCCAGAUGUGAAAUCCCCGGGCUUAACCUGGGAACUGCAUUUGUGACUGCAUAGCUAGAGUACGGUAGAGGGGGAUGGAAUUCCGCGUGUAGCAGUGAAAUGCGUAGAUAUGCGGAGGAACACCGAUGGCGAAGGCAAUCCCCUGGACCUGUACUGACGCUCAUGCACGAAAGCGUGGGGAGCAAACAGG
rnacentral:rRNA from 1 species